rnacentral:rRNA from 1 species
UUAGAUACCCUGGUAGUCCACACAGUAAACGAUGAAUACUCGCUGUUGGCGAUACAAUGUCAGCGGCCAAGCGAAAGCAUUAAGUAUUCCACCUGGGGAGUACGCCGGCAACGGUGAAACUCAAAGGAAUUGACGGGGGCCCGCACAAGCGGAGGAACAUGUGGUUUAAUUCGAUGAUACGCGAGGAACCUUACCCGGGCUUAAAUUGCAACUGACGGACUUGGAAACAGGUCUUUCUUCGGACAGUUGUGAAGGUGCUGCAUGGUUGUCGUCAGCUCGUGCCGUGAGGUGUCGGCUUAAGUGCCAUAACGAGCGCAACCCUUACCGACAGUUACCAUCAGGUAACGCUGGGGACUCUGUCGGGACUGCCGUCGUAAGAUGUGAGGAAGGGUGGGGAUGACGUCAAAUCAGCACGGCCCUUACGUCCGGGGCUACACACGUGUUACAAUGGGGGGGUACAGAAGGCANCUACACGGCGACGUGAUGCUAAUCCCAAAAGCCUCUCUCAGUUCNGAUUGGAGUCUGCAACCCGACUUCAUGAAGCUGGAUUCGCUAGUAAUCGCGCAUCAGCCACGGGGCGGUGAAUACGUUUCCCGGCCCUUGACACACCGCCCCGUAAGCCAUGAAAGGCCGGGGGACCCUGAAUGCGUUACCCGCAGGAGCGCCCUUAGGGUAAACUGUGAUUGGGGCUAGUCGAACAAGGUAAGCCAAUCCCGCCACUGGGGCCGGU